rnacentral:rRNA from 1 species
UACAGAGACUGCGAGCGUUAUUCGGAUUCACUGGGCGUAAAGGGUGCGCAGGCGGCCAAGUGUGUGAGGCGUGGAAGCCCGGGGCUUAACCCCGGAAUUGCACCUCAAACUACAUGGCUAGAGCAUUGGAGAGGGUAGCAGAAUUCAUGGUGUAGCAGUGAAAUGCGUAGAUAUCAUGAGGAAUACCAGAGGCGAAGGCGGCUACCUGGACAAUUGCUGACGCUCAGGCACGAAAGCGUGGGGAGCAAAAGGG